rnacentral:tRNA from 1 species
UCCGCCGUAGUGUAAUUGGCAGCACGCGAGGUUUUGGUCCUUUAGGUUCAGGUUCGAGUCCUGGCGGCGGAG